rnacentral:lncRNA from 1 species
AAGAAUUUAAUAAAAGUAAUAUGUUGGACGACAUUAGUCAAACAGAUAAUACAACUUCAAAGGCUGAAAAUUCCGAAGAAGAAAGUUGUAGCUCAAAGGAAGAUGAUGACAGCUCAGAUGAUACACUAUUUAAAAAUCCAAACCAUCGCAUUAACCAUACUUAUGAAGAUGACGAAAUCACUUCAGAAAGCGAGAGCUCGGCAAAUGAGGAAGAAAAUUUUGAUGAAGGAAAAAACAAUAACAAACACUGUUAUCAAGUUGGUAAAACUUGAAAUAAUAAAACAAAACAAAAAUCCGAGUCAUUAGAGGGUUCUUCCCAGGAAUUCUGAGCUAAAUUUUGCUGGAAUUUUAUCCGUUUCUUAUUUCCCAUUAACCGGUAAAAUUGCCAUAAUUUUCCUGAAAAAAUCAAAAAAUUACUUGUGUAUUUUAUUUGUGUAAAAUAUAAUAAUGUCUACAAAGCUAUUUAAUGUGAAAUGUAUAAUUAUGUCUAAAAAGCUAUUUAAUAUGUAAUGUAUCUGACAUUAGAUAUCGUCUAUAAUAUCCAAAAA